rnacentral:rRNA from 1 species
UGGGGAAUAUUGCACAAUGGGCGCAAGCCUGAUGCAGCAACGCCGCGUGAGGGAUGACGGCCUUCGGGUUGUAAACCUCUUCUAGCAGGGAAGAAGCGAAAGUGACGGUACCUGCAGAAAAAGCGCCGGCUAACUACGUGCCAGCAGCCGCGGUAAUACGUAGGGCGCAAGCGUUAUCCGGAAUUAUUGGGCGUAAAGAGCUCGUAGGCGGUUUGUCGCGUCUGCUGUGAAAUCCCGAGGCUCAACCUCGGGUCUGCAGUGGGUACGGGCAGACUAGAGUGCGGUAGGGGAGAUUGGAAUUCCUGGUGUAGCGGUGGAAUGCGCAGAUAUCAGGAGGAACACCGAUGGCGAAGGCAGAUCUCUGGGCCGUAACUGACGCUGAGGAGCGAAAGGGUGGGGAGCAAACAGGCUUAGAUACCCUGGUAGUCCAUGCCGUAAACGUUGGGCACUAGGUGUGGGGUCCAUUCCACGGAUUCCGUGCCGCAGCAAACGCAUUAAGUGCCCCGCCUGGGGAGUACGGCCGCAAGGCU